rnacentral:rRNA from 1 species
AUUGAACGCUGGCGGCAGGCCUAACACAUGCAAGUCGAGCGGAUGAAGGGAGCUUGCUCCUGGAUUCAGCGGCGGACGGGUGAGUAAUGCCUAGGAAUCUGCCUGGUAGUGGGGGAUAACGUCCGGAAACGGGCGCUAAUACCGCAUACGUCCUGAGGGAGAAAGUGGGGGAUCUUCGGACCUCACGCUAUCAGAUGAGCCUAGGUCGGAUUAGCUAGUUGGUGGGGUAAAGGCCUACCAAGGCGACGAUCCGUAACUGGUCUGAGAGGAUGAUCAGUCACACUGGAACUGAGACACGGUCCAGACUCCUACGGGAGGCAGCAGUGGGGAAUAUUGGACAAUGGGCGAAAGCCUGAUCCAGCCAUGCCGCGUGUGUGAAGAAGGUCUUCGGAUUGUAAAGCAUUUUAAGUUGGGAGGAAGAGCAGUAAGUUAAUACCUUGCUGUUUUGACGUUACCAACAGAAUAAGCACCGGCUAACUUCGUG